AAAACGUGUGCGCUUCCCUCAAAUGACCACUACGGUAUUUGUUUUAUUAUUAAACAAAACCUUAUGAAGCCUGCAAAAACUGCAUGUGGUUCCAGUUUUUUACUUUCACCGCACUA
rnacentral:lncRNA from 1 species